rnacentral:rRNA from 1 species
GUGGGGGAUAUUGCACAAUGGGGGAAACCCUGAUGCAGCAACGCCGCGUGAGGGAAGAAGGUUUUCGGAUUGUAAACCUCUGUUCUUAGUGACGAUAAUGACGGUAGCUAAGGAGAAAGCUCCGGCUAACUACGUGCCAGCAGCCGCGGUAAUACGUAGGGAGCGAGCGUUGUCCGGAUUUACUGGGUGUAAAGGGUGCGUAGGCGGCGAGGCAAGUCAGGCGUGAAAUCUAUGGGCUUAACCCAUAAACUGCGCUUGAAACUGUCUUGCUUGAGUGAAGUAGAGGUAGGCGGAAUUCCCGGUGUAGCGGUGAAAUGCGUAGAGAUCGGGAGGAACACCAGUGGCGAAGGCGGCCUACUGGGCUUUAACUGACGCUGAAGCACGAAAGCAUGGGUAGCAAACAGGAUUAGAAACCCUAGUAGUCCG